rfam:Nomascus leucogenys chromosome 4, whole genome shotgun sequence.
GGAUGUGAGGGCAAUCUGGCUAUGACAUCUGUCGCCUCAUUGAUCACCAGGGUUCAUUCAGCUGAUCUGACUGGCUAGGCAGAUGUCCCCUUCCUCCCUCAUGGCUCCAUGUGUGUCCCAACCAAAGCCCUGUGAUUGAUCAGAUCCUUCCUUGAUUGAGGAGGUCCAUACUUCGGUCAAGGGUAUACAGGUAGCUGUGCUCCCUUGCUAGAACCUCCAAACAAGCUCUUAAAACACCAUUAAGAUUAAGAAAAUUUAAAGAGAAAACAAUAAAAGUCUAACCAGCUUUGACAUCAUCCAUAUUUACCUCCCCUGUCUUUUAU